CCUACGGGUGGCAGCAGUGAGGAAUAUUGGUCAAUGGCCGAGAGGCUGAACCAGCCAAGUCGCGUGAGGGAAGAAUGUCCUAUGGAUGGUAAACCUCUUUUGUCAGGGAGCAAAGUCACCCACGUGUGGGUGUUGGAGAGUACCUGAAGAAAAAGCAUCGGCUAACACCGUGCCAGAAGCCGGGGCAAUACGGAGGAUGCGAGCGUUACCCGGUUUUAUUGGGUUAAAAGGGUGCGUAGGGGGGUUAUCAAGUUAGCGGUAAAAUCGUGGAGUUCAACUCCAUCCAGCAGUUGAAACUGAUGAUCUUGAGUGGGCGAGAAGUGUGCGGAAUGCGUGGUGUAGCGGUGAAAUGCAUAGAUAUCAGGCAGAACUCCGAUUGCGAAGGCAGCAUACCGGCGCCCGACUGACGCUGAAGCACGAAAGCGUGGGUAUCGAACAGGAUUAGAUACCCGAGUAGUC
rnacentral:rRNA from 1 species